AAUCGACCUCGGAUCAGGCAGGAUUACCCGCUGAACUUAA
rnacentral:rRNA from 1 species